rnacentral:rRNA from 1 species
CGACCGGCGCACGGGUGAGUAACGCGUAUGCGACCUGCCCGUUGCAGGGGGAUAAUCGGGAGAAAUCCCGUCUAAUACCGCGUAACGCCGCGGGGCUGCAUGGCCCUGCGGCCAAAGGGAGCGAUUCCGGCAACGGAUGGGCAUGCGUGACAUUAGCUAGUUGGCGGGGCAACGGCCCACCAAGGCGACGAUGUCUAGGGGUUCUGAGAGGAAGGUCCCCCACACUGGUACUGAGACACGGUCCAAACUCCUACGGAAGGCAGCAG